CGCUCACUCACCCACUCUCUGGCUCGCCCCAGUCGAAUCCCUAGCUCGCCGCUGCCGCUGCCGCCUCUCCCUCGCACUCGUCGCCAGCGCCUCUCAGUCGCCCGUGUUGCCGGCGCCUCUCCCUCGCCCGCGUCGCUCUGCCUCUCCCUCUCGUGUCGUCGCCGCCACUCCAUUGUCCCUCUCGUCGUCGGCCCUUCAGGACCCCAUUUUUACUUUCCGACAGGUGGAUCCGAAGCGCGGCGGCUCGACCUGCAACGCCGGCAGCUGCGGGCUUUAAUCUGGAGCUCCAUGGCGUCCCACAAGUGCGGCGGCCAGAUGGAGCGGAUUCAUUGCUCCUGCGUGCACCGGGCGCUCCGCGGCCUCCUGUUCAUCAGCAGCAACAAGGCCAGCAACGUCUGGAGGGAGGUGCAGGGCAACUUCAUCCCCUUCUGCUGCUGCCCAAUGUCGAGGACGGUCCAGUAGCCGCCGCUCGUCCUGGCGGUGGACGACAGCUUCGUCGACUGCAUCGUCAUCUCCAAGAUCCUCCGCAGCUCCAAAUACAGAGGUGGACACAUUGCUGGAGCCGUGUGGCACUCCUAAUGGUCUCAAGCAUACUCCCGUAAAACAUUUGGAGUACAUUUGUUGGUUGAAGUACCAAGAUAUUUGUGGAACUUCAUUGAAGGAGUAAAACAUUUCCAGUACCAAGAUUGCAGUAAAUUUUGUGGAACUUCACUGCUUGAGACCAUGUUAAUGAUGAUGCUUGUGCAGUACCAAGAUUCAGUAUCAGUAGUCGAGUGUUGGUUGAAGUGACUGUUCAAUUGUUCAGUGUUUGUUUUGUUAUCUUCAUUUCGGAAAUUUAUCUUUCCAUUCCUUCUUACUUGUUCGUCAUGUAGAGACUAUACUGCUUUACUUCAGAUAAGUUUUCUUUAAAACCAAAUGAAUUAGGACUUGCAUUUUUUAAUUUAGAGUUUAUGCACCUAAUUUAAAGUUUAAUUUCCUAGUAGAUUUUGAAUGUCUUUUCUUGGUUCUC